UUGUAAGUGGGGCUCAGCUGUUCUUCUGGGACCGCUUACUUGGCUGUGCUCAUCUCAGCAGGGCUGCAGGAGAUCCAGAAGACACACGGAUGUCCUUCAACAUCUCCACUCAGAGCUGACACAAAGUAACUGUUGUCCACAUUCCAUUUCUCAGAGCAAGCACCCGACCAAAUCCAAAGAAACAGCAUCCUUGCCCUUCCUGCAAGAGUGGAGGGGAAGAAACUGGAAGCAAAUCAGGCUACAGAUGAAGAAAAGCCAAUAAAAUAACAGCUUUGGGCCUGAUGCUGUGGCUCAUUCCUGUAAUCCCAGCAUUUUGGGAGGCUGACAAGGGCAGACCACCUGAAGCCAGGAGUUCCAGACCAGCCUGGUCAACAUAGCAAAACCCUGUCUCUACACAAAGUACAAAAAAUUAGCCUAGUGUGAUAGUGCAUGCCUGUAAUCCCAGCUACUGGGAGGUGAGGCACCAGAAUCACUUGAACCCAGGAAUUGGAGGUUGCAGAGAGCCAAGAUCAUACCACUGCACACUGCACUCCAGCCUGCGUGACAGGGCAAGACUCUGUCUCAAAAAACAAUAACAAUGACAAAACAACAACAACAACAACAGCAACAACAAAAGCAGCAUGAUUUUGCUUCCUUAGAAAGGACUAUUUGCUAAAUGUGUGAUGUGUGUAAAGGUGCAUAGUUAGGAUAGGUGAUUAGUGCUAUUCUAUGUUUCCUUGGUGUUUCACCCAAGCUUAGUUAGGCUUUUUAUCCAUUAAAGCCUCAUUUUCAUUUUGUA
rnacentral:lncRNA from 1 species